UGAUUCUUCUCUUGUCAUCGGAAAAUAUUUUCUCAUGACUCUAGAAGAAUCAGC
rnacentral:pre_miRNA from 1 species